UCUGACCUCAAAUCAGGUAGGACUACCCGCUGAACUUAAGCAUAUCAAUAAGCGGAGGAAAAGAAACUAACAAGGAUUCCCCUAGUAACUGCGAGUGAAGCGGGAAAAGCUCAAAUUUGAAAUCUGGCAGUCUUUUUUUUCUUCUUUGGCUGUCCGAGUUGUAAUCUAGAGAAGUGCUUACCUGCACUGGACCAUGUAUAAGUCUCCUGGAAUGGAGCGUCGCAGAGGGUGAGAAUCCCGUCUUUGACAUGGACUGCCAGUGUGUUGUGGUGUGCUCUCAAAGAGUCGAGUUGUUUGGGAAUGCAGCUCUAAAUGGGUGGUAAACUCCAUCUAAAGCUAAAUAUUGGCGAGAGACCGAUAGUGAACAAGUACCGUGAGGGAAAGAUGAAAAGGACUUUGGAAAGAGAGUUAAACAGUAUGUGAAAUUGUUGAAAGGGAAACGCUUGAAGUCAGUUAUGUUGGCUAGGGAUCAACCUAGCUACUUUUGCUGGGUGAAUUUCCUAGUUUGACAGGCCAACAUCAGUCUUGACUGCUGGAAAAGAGCAGAGGGAAUGUGGCACCUUUGGGUGUGUUAUAGCCCUUUGCCAUAUGUGGCAGUUGGGACUGAGGGAUGCAGCAUGCCGCGAGGCUGGGUUUCUGACCACGUUCAUGCUUAGGAUGUUGGCUUUUAAUGGCUUCAAUCGACCCGUCUUGAAACACGGACCAAGGAGUCUAACAUGCCUGCGAGUGUUUGGGUGGGGAAAACCCUUGUGCACAAUGAAAGUGAAAGUUGAGAUCCCUGUCAUGGGGAGCAUCGACGCCCGGACCUGAGCUYUUAGCGACGGAUCCGCGGUAGAGCAUGUAUGUUGGGACCCGAAAGAUGGUGAACUAUGCCUGAAUAGGGCAAAGCCAGAGGAAACUCUGGUGGAGGCUCGUAGCGAUUCUGACGUGCAAAUCGAUCGUC
rnacentral:rRNA from 1 species